CUCAGACGGCUCCGGCCAGGUGGGCUUCCGGGGCCCCAACCCCUGACCACCACCCGCCGCGCCGCAGGCCUGGGAUUUAUCAGUAGGCGCCUGUCAUCUUUGGCGAAGGGAAACCUGAAAACGCAUCUCCCGUGGGACCCCGGUGCCCGUCGCCGCCUCUCGGCCCCGCGGCUGACCCCGGGGGACACGGAGAGGGAAGUCGUGCCCGUGAGCCCGCCCAGUUCCAGGGUGCGCUGGCCUCCGCAAGCCAUGCUGUCGUGAGCUUCGGGAACAAUCCGGGGAAGGCCUCGGCUCCGUGUCUCGGCACACAGCCCCUGCGGAAGGAAAGCUCCUCUGGCAAACCCCACCUUCCUUCCCGUGUGUGGCGUGGCGGCAGCCGAGGGCCCCCAGGGUCAGGCCCAGAGUCUGCUUCGCGGGGACCUGCUGGCUGUCCUCACGCUCUGCAUCUCCGAGCCCGAGGGGGCGGGCGAUGCUGCUGGACUCCCGGGCACCGUUGUCUCCCCUCCCCAAGGAUGUGCCGGGAGGCCACCCCCAGGAGGAUCUAAAAGGCAAGCAAACCCGGUGCUGGGUGGGCUUUGGCAGCUCCUCGGGCAUCCGGGACCACCUUUGAUCUGGGACCUCGCUCCCCGUGGCCCCGGGCACCACAACGGAUUUGGCAAAAUUGCUGCUCGGUGGCCUGACCGUCAGCCCAGGAUGUCUGGACAGUCCCGGACAGAGCCGGUGACUCGCUCGGGCCGCGGCGUGGGACGCCGGGAGCGACCUAAAGCAAAGCAGGAUUCCAGGGACACAUUUACGACCGUCAUAAUUGUGAGUUAGAGAUCUCCCAGGCCAAGUGAAAUGAAAUUACGAGAAACUGAAAUCUGUUUUAAUUGGAGCAUUUAUGGAAAAAAAGAAGUCAGACUGGCUGCUUUUUCCUUUAUGUGGCUCUCCGGUUCGGGGCCGUACCUGCGUCCGGGAGCCCGGGGCCGGCCAGACUCGGGCGGCCACAGAGCGGGGAGGAAGAGAGAGAGAGAGAGAGAAGAGAGAGAGAAUGAGGCAGAGACAGCCCUGCCCCUCCUCGGCCACCCUGCAGGCGGUGCCCAGCCGGCACUUCCUCCUCUUUCCCGGGAAACACUCCCGGCUUCCCGCUCCCGGGCGCCUCUCGGAGACGCUGUGACAGGCGCCCACGGGAUGCUCUCUGGAGUGGUCCCUGGCGGGCGGGGGGCAUGGCCUGCCGGGCGACCCCGCCCCCCUUCCACACACACACGCACACACGCACACACACCGUGCAGUGCCGGGGCUGGGGGAGUCCUUGCACACCUUCCAGCAUCAUGGCACAGAUGGAGAAACUGAGGCACAGAGAGGCUCUACGUUCCCAGGCCUCUUCUCUCCCUCCGCCCCCCACCACCGGGGCCAAGCAUCCAGCCCCGUAAGUCCUCCAGGUGAAAACGGGCAUCCCGGCCACCGCCCUGCGUGGGAAAUAAGCCUUCUGAGGAAGCACCCGCUGCACAUUUGCUAAAUUAAUGAAAAAAGAACUGCACGGGGUGAGUCGAUGCCCCGGCUCGGUGUGUCCGGAGUGGGGGCUCUCACAGCCGGCCUCCCCCUUUGUCAGACACCGGGGUGGCCGUGCCCUCCCCGGGGAGCAGGAUGCCCCUUUGUUCUGCGAGCUGGGUUUCCCAGGUGAGCGCCACCCCUUCCCAGUAAAAGAGACAGGGGGUCUGCAUUGUCACCCCGCACGGUGCCCGGCCCCCCUGGAGGGGCUCGGCCGACCUGUGUUCAAUCCUCGGGACGAGACACAGGCUCAUUUUCCUCUUGGAGGAACAUGAAGGAGUUUCUAGAAACCACUGCCCUGGGGUGCCCUGGAGAGCCACACGGGCGAGGCACCCAGGGGCCAGGGGUGGGGGUGCUGAGACUGAGCCCCGAGCUUUCUGUGCAGCCCCCAGAUCCUGAAAGAGACCCAACCCCGGAGGGGUGGGGGGCAGGGAGCAGCCGACGGCUGGACCUUUACGUGGUGCCGUCUGACCGCGGGGACUUAGCUGAUGUACAAGAGAAGCCCCUGCGAGAGAUGAGCCAGGCGUGGACGGGGUGGGUGAGCGUGACCGUGGCCGUGGCCCAGACAGGGGUAGAGCUGGGGGGGACACGGGGAGGAGCCCAGGCUGCAGCGGGGAGGGGAGGGCGGGGGUGAGCAUGAGUUGCUGGCCUGCCGGGUUUCAGAUUUGGGCCCGAGUGGGGGUGGGGGGCAAAGAGAAGAGGACCCCGGAGGCUGGCGAGCCUGAGUCUGCGCGGGGCCAACGUUUGCGCUCUGGACCCUCGGCCUGGGAAGUGAGCGUCCGCCAAGGCAGGCGACAGGCCAAAGACUCAUACCUGCCGUGCUGUUGUGAUUAUUAAAAAUCAGAUCCUGGGCAGCCCUGGUGGCUCAGUGGUUUAGCACCUGCCUUCAGGCCAGGUGUGAUCCUGGAGUCCCGGGAUCGAGUCCCACAUCCGGCUCCCUGCACGGAGCCUGCUGCUCCCUCUGCCUGUGUCUCUGCCUCUCUCUCUCUAUGUCUCGAAUGAAUAAAUAAAUAAAAUCUUUAAAUAAGAAAAAAGAA
rnacentral:lncRNA from 1 species